AUUGAACGCUGGCGGCAUGCUUUACACAUGCAAGUCGAACGGUAACAGGUCUUCGGAUGCUGACGAGUGGCGAACGGGUGAGUAAUACAUCGGAACGUGCCUAGUAGUGGGGGAUAACUACUCGAAAGAGUAGCUAAUACCGCAUGAGAUCUACGGAUGAAAGCAGGGGACCUUCGGGCCUUGUGCUACUAGAGCGGCUGAUGGCAGAUUAGGUAGUUGGUGGGGUAAAGGCUUACCAAGCCUGCGAUCUGUAGCUGGUCUGAGAGGACGACCAGCCAACCUGGGGCUGAGACACGGCCCAGAAUCCUACGGGAGGCAGCAGUGGGGAAUUUUGGGCAAUGGGCGAAAGCCUGAUCCAGCAAUGCCGCGUGCAGGAUGAAGGCCCUCGGGUUGUAAACUGCUUUUGUACGGAACGAAAAGCCUGGGGCUAAUAUCCCCCGGUCAUGACGGUACCGUAAGAAUAAGCACCGGCUAACUACGUGCCAGCAGCCGCCGUAA
rnacentral:rRNA from 1 species